ensembl:lncRNA
GGGGGGGUUGAGCUGCGGCGGUCCCGGUGCUCCCGCAGUGCCCCUCCCGAGCUGCCAGGCUGGAUUUUAUGGGAAUAUCGAUAGAAUUAAAGUUCCUUGUAAUUCCGUGAUAAAUGGGGUGUCUCUAGUAAGUAAGAUGAAGUGCGGUGCCGUGAAGUUGUUUAUCUGGAAAGUAAUUCUCAGAAACCUGACUUCUGACACUUGGUCAUAUAUUAAACCGGCGUCUUGAACGUUGUACUUCAGAUGCUCCUUUUCCCCCUUCCCCUCGCAGUUUGCUAUUUAUAAGACUUCGUAGGUGCGGGUGAGUUGCUGGGUAAUUUUUCACCAACUGUGAAAAGCAUCGUUUGCAACAGCCGAAGAAUUCUCUGCUUAGGAAAUAGUACGGGGAGAGUGGGCUCACGAAUAGAUAACAUCUCCCGACCGUGCCAUUAUCGGCACAAACCCGUGCGGCUGCGCUGCUCCCGGCAGCCAAAAGGCAGGGAGGGCACGCUGCGAGGCGAGCAGGCUAACGACACCUAGAUGGGAUCGCAGAGGCGAUUCUGCAGACCUAAAGCAUGCUCCGACGGCACGAACAACAUGAGCGUGGUUCUGCGCAGCCCCAAAGACACCCGGACAUCUGCCGGGUUUAUCUUAGAGACUGCAAUUAGUGACAAACCGAGUUAAACUCGGCUUGGCUUUCCUAUUCCUGCACACCAUCGGAACCAGCAAAAGUUCCCAGCUCACAGCAUAACCCCCCCCCCCCCCCCCCUCCAGGACGGCCCCAUUCCCCAGACUUGUUUUUCCCAUUGCAAGAUGAAUGUGGCACUGUAUGUCACUUAACGCGCUCACCUAUGAGAGGCACAAAAAGUGAAGGUUAUUGCUUUUUGGAACGCACACUCGCAGUGUUCCACUUGCACGUUUGAUGGAUGUCUGUGGAAACACAGCUCCGGCCCCAUCAAACUGUUUGGAUUCAGAGUGCUCCGCUUGCAAACCAGUAGAUUUCUGAGUAAACUUGAGACGAAGAGCACAAAUUUGGGUGAGCUAAGGGGGAGCCUCUUCCUUAGCACUGAUGUGGGUGAGUGCAUGCGGAGCUCUGACCUCCAGGGCAGCACUGGAGUUACUGUACAGCAUUGUUCUGGUGUGAUGAUUGCAGAGCUGCCGCCCCAAAACGGCACGGCGUAGCAGAGAGAAAGGAUUAUUAGCAAUUUUUUGGAUCACCUUCAGGAGCAGCAACGCUCUCCUCCCUCCCCUCCGCCAUUCUCACUGUAGUGCUAUUUUCCUUUAUUAUUUGGCUAUUCACGACGGCUGUCUAAACAUUUACAGUCCCCUAUUAACAGCGUUUCUCCCCAAACAAUCGCACGCUUUCAUUUCAAUUAGAGCCAUUCAGGCUCGGGUUUUGCCACCAGGCCACGUCCCAGCCCCGCUCCCUUUCCCAGCACGGACCCAGGCAGCGCACAGCCCACAUCCCCACACCUCCUGCUCACAUCCCCACACCUCCUGCCCUGCUCCAGGUUAGGAGCUCAGACCACGACGCGUUCUGCCCUGGGUGCGGAUCAAGAACAACACAUUAAGAACAGUUACCGCUCCCUUUGUUUGCCCGGUGUCUGAUUUUUAUGGUGCAGAACUAAAGAGUGCCCGCUGAAUUUGACUAUGGAAGCGGGCAAAUUGCUUUCCAAAAGGCUUCUUCGGAGCACAGUGAUAAGGCACAACCCGCUCCUAGGUGCAGCGCCAGAUAAAUCCUUUUAACAGUCCUCAGAUCAGUUAACAGGCAACUCGCAGACGCAAAUAGGAGCCGCGCUCCCUUUGAAGACACGUUCUUUAUAUAUUUUUAUUGGAGGUGUCUUUUUUAUUAAGUGGAGCACCAGCAUAUGUACCACGCAUCCCGAUUUGCUGGUGGUGCUGCGGUGUCGGAGCAGAGGGAACAGAAGCAGCGGCAAACAAACGCCAUCGAUUAAUAUCUGUUUUUGCAUCGGUGUUGCCGAAUCCAUCAUUUCCACUGCUUGCUUAUCGUGUUUCUGAAACACUCAGAAUAUCCCAAAUAAGCCCGUGUGAUCCAGAAGGAACUUCUCUCUCGGGCUGGAGGUUGGUGCCACCAGGUUUGUGCUGCACUCACCCUAUGAUGCAUGUCCCACUUUACUCGUCUCCAUGAAUGGUUCAGCCUGGAUGUGAAAAUCAAUACAGACGUCCCUGAUGCCAAAAACCUAUUUGUCUAAAAGAUAUAAAAAGUGAAAUUGCAAUAAAGAUUUUUAUCGGGCUUUAUGGUGGAAUUCGUCAUUUAUAACUGGGAUGAUGAUGUUGGGUUAUAUAACGUGUUCGCUCUCAAAUUAGCUGAUGUGAGUAAAUAGAGGUAAUCUGGUAAAAUCUGGUGCCCAGGUUGAUCUCUGCAGAAAGCUACAGUUAAAGGAGGAGAAGAAAACAGUCACAUCAAUAUCACACCACUGAGCUGUCCCAGCAAAGCCCUGUGAUACGCACGAGGCGUUGGUAUCUAUUUUAGCUCUGGAAAAUCCUUGCUGCUUCUCUCCCUUCUGCUCUGCACUGAGUUGUUUCGGCAGCAAGGAGCAGUGGCAGCAUGAAAUAAUAUGUGAAUUUUAUGUGCUCUCUCUUCCUCAAAGCUGACUACCAGUGAGUGGCGAGGGGGGCACGAUACGGAGGUGGUGUUUUGAUGUGUGACUGCGAAGGGUGAGACGGCCAUUAUUAAGAGUGAUCGACUUCAGUGACUUUUAAACAAAGCUGUGAUUUAAUGUCUUAAAGCCCGAGAUGGCACAGACUUGUCGUUAGUUGGCGUGGUGGGCUGAGUGCCAUGCACUGGGCUUAUCUCGUGUGAGUAAAGCAUAGAAAUGUGUGGGGUAAGUGAUGGGGUCUUCGGCAGCACAAGGCUCUUGGCUUGCGUGGCCUUAUGGCAGAGGGGGGCUGUGCCAACGGGAGCACAUAAGGAUCUCACGUUACCUCCAACCUUCAAUUAUCGUGCUGAAUCUGGCCUAACCUGCUUAUCUCCUGAGAAUUACUCACUAGGUUUUGGCAGGAGGAGGUGUCAAUGAAAAUGAGACAGUUCUGGAGCCAGCAUCGCUGCCAGCAGCCAGGGCUUAAUUCUGGGCAGAGCUGGGGACAGUGUGUUCCUCUCCCUGCCAUGGCUCCAGCUGCUCCCAUCCCCAGCCCUCUCCACCAGGUGAGCUCUUCCCCAUCCCAUUCCCAUUCCCAUUCCUGUUCCUGGCUCCCAGCUCUAGUCUCCAUGUUGGAAGCCCAGUGGCUGGAGCUGUCUUCUUGACUAUGGAGAUGUAGCAGCAUCUGUCAGAAAAUACAUGUGAAAGCAGCCCGGGUGCCAGCAAAUAGGAGCUGUAGCUUUCUAAGCAGCUACAUCUGAUUUGGUUUCAUACAUUUAACUUCACCUUUUUUUUCUCCCACUAUUGGCAAAUGUGUUAUUCUCGCACAGAACUGAGAACAACCUCCAUUUCCCAGGAUUGCUUUACGGAGUCUUGGUGCAGGGAAGUGCAUGUUGUGAUGACAUCUGACGUCAUCCAGUGGCAUUCAUUGUCCACACCAAGCGGGAAUGGAAAGUUUCACGCCCCCUUCCCCUCCUGCUCCCCAGCAUUAGCUCACCAUUGUGGCGGGGCUGGGCAAACCACUUUGCAUUGGCCUCCAUCCGGAGUCCGGGUCAUGGGGAAAUGCUAAUCCUUAACAAAAAAGGAAAUGAUAAAAAUACCCAUGAAAUUAAUUUCCACACCUGCAGUCGAGAUUAAUAACAGCAACCGGAGUGGCAUCCCAUUUCAGUUCCCUGGAGGUGACUAACAGCCCUGGCCAUGAAUAUCAUACCAACCACCAGAGGAAUUCACUGUCUGAGGGAUCCACCGUGGAAAACAAUUGAUCCCCAGAGCUCCGCCUGCACAAUGGAAAAUGGCUUUAGUCAUGUAUUAGUCAUUUUAUCACAAGAUGGUAUUUCUGCACUGGGAGGUUUGCCCUCUGAGCCCAGCACAGAAGAACGGCGUUUGGCUUGGUAAUUUACACACAGGUUUUCAUCAUGUUUUCUUUAGGAGGAUGCGUGUAAAUGACGAAGAGCAAUAAACUCACUCUUCUGCAGGUUAAUUC